GGGCCCGUGGCAUAGCCUGGUCAUUGCGCCGCUCUGAUAAGGCGGAUGUCCGGAGUUCAAUCGGUAGAGGAUUUCCCUCUGCUGGAGCUAAUCUCCGCGGGCCCACCA
rnacentral:tRNA from 1 species